CGCAGUAUGUCUGAACUAUAUUCAUACUACUCCCACUCAUACUAUAUAGAACGUACUGUUUUGACGGCCGAUAGGUAGGUACUUAUUCAAAUUCAGUACAUACUGUCACAGUAUGCGAUUUUCGCAGCCAUGCACAUACCAAACACGCUUGAUGUCAUUGCUUGGCGUCCAACAGAGUUCGUUCUUCCAAGGUUUUUCUAUAUAGUUUUCAUGUUAAUUAGUUUCCCCAGGUGUGUCUUAUCUCGUUUUCCCUGUUUAUUUAUAGCCAUUGUGUUUCUUUUGUUUGUUUGUCAGUCGUUGUUUGAAGUUUGUGUGUUCUUUUGUGUCUUUCGUUGGUUUUAUUAAAAGUAUAAACUGCAUUAGGAUCCGCUUCCAUGCCUGGUUUCCGCAUGUGUAUGUGUGCGUUCUCGUUGUUUGCAGUUUUAGAACAACUACUUUUAUUUUUAAUUCUGUCAAAAAUGAAAGAUAGGAUAGGAUGAAAUCAGUUAUUAAGUCUGUCUGGGCCUCAUUUAUCAAUCUAACGUAGAAACGUGCGCAGAAAUCGAUUUACGACAGGGUUUACGUGUGAUUCAUCAAACAUUCGUAUGCCGCCAAUCUCAUCAUACGAAUGAUCGUACCUACAAAUGUGGAGGCUGAAAUCGGUCGUAAUUUACAUAUAACGCCCCUAUAAAUUCAGGGUGUAGACGCCUCGCCCCUAGAUUUUGCGACACGGAGAAACGUAAUCCGGCCAAAAUUAGGAUUUUUUUUCUGAUUUAGGAAUUAAAAUUUAACCUUGGAAAGCGGAAUCAAAGGAAGUAAAAAAAAAAAUUUUUUGAAAGAGAUCGUUGCGGUCAACAGCGUUGGUGUAGUGAACCGAUCUCCAGCUGAGGUGAAGAAAAAAUGGUCUGUUACGGAGGAGACAGAUGCAUGUUUCUAAAGCAGGAUAAAGGUCUGUCAGAGGCAGGACCAGUGGUCUUCAGGCCCCACUGGAACCUGCCACACAAAGCAAGGCAACCUGUGACCCAGUGCGCAUCUUCCAUCCCAUCGAACAUCGCAUAUUCACAAUAAUGUGAAUAAGCAACUAAUUAACAAAUUAAUUUUGAAUUUUAUCAAAACAUACAUUUAAAAAUGUAUCCGUCAUGUUUACGUAUAUGUCUGACAUCCACGACACUCCUCCGAUCCGUUCUGUGAUUGGGCGCUCACAAGGAUUCCUGGGUAGGGGACAUCAGUAGUGUCUGCAUCAAUGUGGGCUUCACCGAAGACCACAUCGAGGGCACAAAGGAGGCGCUCGCGAGCAGACUUCUGAGCACUAAAAAGACAAAUGGGACACCCUACGGACUCGUAGACUUGGCGAGCACGCGCAAUUUAAAUCCACAAGACCGCAAGUCCACAUGAAGUGCGCCAUUUGGGACAGGGCCCAAAUACCCCCACUUGCGGUCUUGACCACUUGAGAGCGUGUGCAUGCGACAGGAAGUAAGAGCGCAAGUCUGUCCAAUGUCUCAAAAACGCAAAAGUGCAGUGCCCUUAACGCACACUAGACCCACACUAUGGUCCUGUCCCAAAUGGCGCACUUGCGGUCUCGUGGACUUAAAUUGCAGAACGGAUGGGAGGAGUGUCGUGGAUGUCAGACAUAUACGUAAACAUGACGGAUACAUUUUUAAAUGUAUGUUUUGAUAAAAUUCACGUAUGAACGUAGCGAGGAAGGCGGGACGAGAGCCGUGGGGCAGGAAGGCGGGGCCGGUGGCGUGAGUGAUAAUGAGUAUCAGCUGUACGCGCACCGGUCCCCCAUGCCUCACGGAGGAGAUCGGGAGCAUAAGAGGACGAGCAACAGGACUGCCGACGAGAGAGGACCGGGCCCAGACAUGUUAAGUUUUGUUUAUGUUUGUGUGUGGCCUUUUUACUUCCGUGUUAUUGUUUGGUUAUUUUAUUAAAGUUUAUUGUUAACUGUUCACCAGUUCCCGCCUCCUUCCUUCCCUACAUUGAACCGUGUUAGAAUUAAUUUAUUAAUUAGUUACUUAUUCGUAUUAUUGCUUAUUUAUUUUCUAUUAAGCCAGCUAUUCAAGAAUAAAAACUUUUAAUGCAGUGCAUUUUCUUACUUAAGGU